AACGAACGCUGGCGGCAUGCCUAACACAUGCAAGUCGAACGAGACCUUCGGGUCUAGUGGCGCACGGGUGCGUAACGCGUGGGAACCUGCCUUUAGGUUCGGAAUAACUCCCCGAAAGGGGUGCUAAUACCGGAUAAUGUCUUCGGACCAAAGAUUUAUCGCCUUUGGAUGGGCCCGCGUUGGAUUAGCUAGUUGGUAGGGUAAAAGCCUACCAAGGCGACGAUCCAUAGCUGGUCUGAGAGGAUGAUCAGCCACACUGGGACUGAGGCACGGCCCAGACUCCUACGGGAGGCAGCAGUGGGGAAUAUUGGACAAUGGGCGAAAGCCUGAUCCAGCAAUGCCGCGUGAGUGAUGAAGGCCUUAGGGUUGUAAAGCUCUUUUACCCGGGAUGAUAAUGACAGUACCGGGAGAAUAAGCUCCGGCUAACUCCGUG
rnacentral:rRNA from 1 species